rnacentral:rRNA from 1 species
UACGAAGGGGGCUAGCGUUGUUCGGAAUCACUGGGCGUAAAGGGCGCGUAGGCGGGAUGGCAAGUCAGUCGUGAAAUCUCUCGGCUCAACCGAGAAACGUCGGCUGAUACUGCCGUUCUUGAGGGAUGCAGAGGAGACUGGAAUUCCCGGUGUAGCGGUGAAAUGUGUAGAGAUCGGGAGGAACACCGGUGGCGAAGGCGGGUCUCUGGGCAGUAGCUGACACUGAGGCGCGACAGCGUGGGGAGCAAACAGG